GACGAACGCUGGCGGCGUGCUUAACACGUGCAAGUCGAACGGAAAGGCCCCCACCUUGGUGGGGGUGCUCGAGUGGCGAACGGGUGAGUAACACGUGGGUGAUCUGCCCUGUACUUCGGGAUAAGCUUGGGAAACUGGGUCUAAUACCGGAUAGGACCAUGGUUUAGUGUCUCAUGGUGGAAAAAUUAUUGUUUUGGUGCAGGAUGAGCUCGCGGCCUAUCAGCUUGUUGGUGGGGUAAUGGCCUACCAAGGCGUCGACGGGUAGCCGGCCUGAGAGGGUGGACGGCCACAUUGGGACUGAGAUACGGCCCAGACUCCUACGGGAGGCAGCAGUGGGGAAUAUUGCACAAUGGGCGCAAGCCUGAUGCAGCGACGCCGCGUGGGGGAUGACGGCCGUCGGGUUGUAAACUCCUUUCGUUAGGGACGAAGCCACACCUUUUUUGGGUGUGGUGACGGUACCUUUGUUAAGAAGCACCGGCUAACUACGUG
rnacentral:rRNA from 1 species